AUUAGAGAGAUAAUUAUUUUUUAUGUUUGAUAGGUUUUAGUCUCGUUAAGUGUUGUAUAGGAAAGGUUCAAGUUGCAUUAAAAGUUGCUUUUAGUGAAGAGAGGAUUGAAACUAAUCCUAAUGUGCAAGUGCAGCAAUAUAUGAUAAAAGACUGAUUCAGAUUUAAAUUGUCAAUAAAGCAGGAAGGUAAACUCUAGUUUCUUCACAAUAUCCCUUCAGCUUUCAUCAACUAAACUAAGUUUGUUAUGAUCAACUGAAGUGGCAACAGCAGUAGUAAUAGUCGGGAUCAGGGAU